CGAGCGAAGCGGGAAGAGCUCAAAUUUGUAAUCUGGUACCUUCGGUGCCCGAGUUGUAAUCUCGAGAAGUGUUUUCCGUGCCAGACCGCAUACAAGUCUGUUGGAAUACAGCGUCAUAGUGGUGAGAACCCCGUAGAUGAUGCGGAUGCCUGGUGCUCUGUGAUACACUUUCGAAGAGUCGAGUUGUUUGGGAAUGCAGCUCAAAUUGGGUGGUAAAUUCCAUCUAAAGCUAAAUAUUGGCGAGAGACCGAUAGCGAACAAGUACCGUGAGGGAAAGAUGAAAAGCACUUUGGAAAGAGAGUUAACAGUACGUGAAAUUGUUGGAAGGGAAACGCUUGAAGUCAGACUUGCUAUUUGGAGUUCAGCCGCAAGGUGUAUUCUUCAAUUUGCAGGCCAGCAUCAGUUUUUGGGGGCAGAAAAGGGUUUUGAGAAGGUAGCAACUCUUGGGUUGUGUUAUAGCUCUUUACUGGAUCUGUCCCUGGGGACUGAGGAACGCAGUACACUUUUUGCAAGACCCUCGGGUCUUUUUGUACUUAGG
rnacentral:rRNA from 1 species